rnacentral:rRNA from 1 species
UACAGAGGUCCCAAGCGUUGUUCGGAUUCAUUGGGCGUAAAGGGUGCGUAGGCGGUGCCGUAAGUCAGGUGUGAAAUCUCGGGGCUUAACCCCGAAACUGCAUUUGAUACUGCGGUGCUCGAGGACUGGAGAGGAGACUGGAAUUCAUGGUGUAGCAGUGAAAUGCGUAGAUAUCAUGAGGAAGGCCAGUGGCGAAGGCGGGUCUCUGGACAGUUCCUGACGCUGAGGCACGAAGGCCAGGGGAGCAAACGGG